GUUCCUCCUCGCACCUUUCCCCCUCCCCUGCACCCCGCCGCCCCCCGCUGCUGCAAGUUGGCUGGCUGGGGGAGCUUCUCUCCUUGACUCAGCCUGUGGCCUCCCAGGCAGCUCGUGCCCCAGGCCUGAGUGGAGAGCCCUGGGCUCUGAUUACACUUUAGUUUUUUCUAAGCUUGUGAGCAGCUCUGAAGUCCGGUGGAGUUGAAGGUCCAUUUAAGCGGCUACUUGCCUAAGCCCUUUUGUCAACACGGCCUAAUUCCUCGUUGGGGGUCAGUAUCAGGAGGCCCGGCUUGUCCAGGCGCGGCUGGCGACCCAGGGCGGACCUGGAGCUGCUGGGCAGGUGGCGUUGCCCCAUACGGCUGUCCGGCCGCUUUCGGGGCCUUGGGCAGAGGGCCUGCUCCUUGCAGCACCCAUCGCCUGGGUCUCGGUGGGCUUGGGCACUUGCUGUCACCCGCCCGGGAGUCUCCCAGCUGCUGAGCCUUUCAGUGGGACGGGGCGGGGAUGAGCCCAAGGUACAGAUCUGGAGGCCAAGGAACGUGCCCAAGGCAGCCCCUGCUCCCUGCCCCUGCUGCCACUGCCCAGGGUGGACCAGUGCCCGUGCCCGUCGGGGGGAGACGUGCGCUGGCAUCAGGCUGGACAGUGGGACUGGAAGGCUGAGUCCGCAGUGUCCCAAGGUCUCAGACCCCAGAGCCCUGGCUGCUAGUAGCCCCUUUGCCCGGGGAAGGGUGGGGGGCAGUAGCAGAGCAGGAGGUCCACUGGUCACCCUCUGGGCAGCCCUUGGGGACCUGGGAGAGCUUGGAGCCCCGGUAAGGGGCAUCUGGUAACAUCAGAGCCCUCGGGACCCAAAAUAGAGCACAUUCCGGGGCCUCCCGAAAUAACAGGGUCAUGUGUCUCUCUGGAGGCUGGGCUUGGAGGCUGGGCUUGGAGUCCGGCCUGCGAGGCAGUCCUGUCUUGGCCUGGGCACUGCUGACUGUUGGGGCGUUUGUUUUGGUAAACCCUGGAGGGGGCUCUGUUUGUUGACGGGGGAAGUGUCAGGGUGAGAAAAACAGCCCUCAGAUGGGUGUGGCCGUGGCCGUGGCCUUGCUGGCCUGCAUCCUUGCCUGGGCUUGGUCGCCUGUCUGCUGUGCCUGGGCCCAGCGUGUAGCCCUGACCCGCUCUGCCCGAACAUGGGUGGGGUGAGCUGGGGACCCCCGGGAGGAGCCACGGAGGGCGUGCGGGCGGGCAGCGCUGAGCUGGGGUUUGGCAGACUUGAGCGGGCAGCCCUGCUCGCCCCGGGGCAGCUGCUGGGGGCCUGAUCCCAGCUCCACCAGCUCUUCCAGCUGUGCCUGUCCUUCCGGGCCUGCGGGGAGCUGGGCCUCCUCCAGGAGGCCCUCUGCCUGCCUUUCCCUGGCCCCUGCCCCACCCCCUCUGUGCCUCUGUGGGCGGGUUUCGGUUGGUGGUCCUUGUCUCCCGUUCCGGGGGCUGGUGGUGGGAUUACUGUGUGGUACAGAAUGGGGCUGGUGUGGGUACCACGGGCUCUGGCAUCAGGAGAGGGGCCCCUCGGUGAGCCAAGGGGGGACAGACAGCGGCUGCACAGGAGGUGGUGUGGGGUCGGGGGGAGGCCCCAAGCGCCUGCCCAGAGCCGGUGGAAGCUGCCUCCGGACUUUCAUUUUCUUGGCUCGCCCGGGCUCUCUCCACAGUUGGUGUGUUUCCACGGUAGGCGGUGGUCUCGAGUAAGGCCCGUCCUCCAGGAGAAGAGGGCUCCUGGGCCCGACUCAGUUGCUGUCCAUAGGACAGAGCAGAGGCCACUGAAUUGGCUCAGGACAAGACGUGAUCCACCUUCCCUUUUCACCCACCCCUAGUCUGUCACAAUUUGUCUAGCUGGCUCUGGUGGCCAGGGCCUCGAGGUGUCCCGUCGACUGGUCUGUUCCUAUGGGAGCUGACUACAGGCUGGGUUAGGGCUGGGCAGGGGUGCAGGCCCUUGAGAACCUGGGUGGCUGGUGAGGUUGGUGUCUGCUUGGGGAUCAGAUCCCUUCGCCCUGACGUGCACGGUGCAGGUCUGUUACCUGGAUGCUGUGGAAGGUGCGGGGAGAGGGCCGGGCCCCUCCCCUCCCCUGCCUGCACUGCUGACGUUUUCCAAGGGGCAGCUCCAUCUUCGCUCUCCUUUCCUCUCCUCCUCAGGCCCCUUUGUCACUUGCUCCCCCUACCUGCUCUCUCUCGAAUGACCCGGCCAUUCCUGGGGAGAGGGGGAGCAGACCCUGGGAGCUGCACCUUCCUGGGGGACCGUGUCCUCUUGUGGGCUGGUGGUCAGGCCACUGGGGAUCGGGUCCUCUGUCCCUGCUGCCCGUGUGUGUGGCCUGCCUGCCGGCCUCCCGGAGCCUUAACUGUCCGUCUGUAAAAUGGACACGUGUGUUGGCCCUUCUACGGUGCUGGCGGAAAGGCAGCCCAUCUUAUUUCAGGGGCGUGUCUACCUGACGGCCCUUCUUCGAAGGCAAGGCCCGUGGCCGGAGCCUCCCCGUGCCCCCUGCCUGGAUCAGCGAGGGGCCCGGUUCUCGAGUGUUAGGCUGAAACAGGAGCACAAAGCAGAGGCAUGGCUGCUGCUGUCAGGGCUGCGGGGCCCACGCUGGAGAGGAGGGCCGCCCCGGCUUCGUCUCCCGUGCUGAGCGAGCACCGACACGGCCCCUGCUCCGUGCCCCCUCCCCAAGGCCCGCAGGAGCUGGGGGGGCGAGGGCCUCGCUUGCGGGCCCCCCGAGCCUGGCGCGGGAUGUUCCGAGCAGUCGUGCCCCGGUGCCUCACAGACGGAGAAAUUGCACCCUAGAGUUACAAAGCAGUCGUCUAGCUCAGAGCCGAGUGAGCGUGGUGGGGCAGAAAGCAGCUCAGUAAACCUGGCCCCGGCCGACGCGGAGGAGAGUGGGGACACGCGCACGUGGCGGCCCCGGUGCGCGCACGCUCAGGCGGCUGCAGCCGCGCGCUCGCUCUAGGCCCCGCAGCUGGGCCCUGCCUGCCCCGUGCCUGGCGCCGUCUGUCCUGUGUCCCUACGUCGGUGUGUCCUCUCGUGCCUGGGACCCGCGUCCCUGCGUGAGUGAAGCAAGUGAACGGGGUGGCCACUCAGGGACCCAUUUCCUUGGCCUCCAGAAGCCAGGUGGGCCUCCUUGGCCCGCGUCUGUCCCAUGUCUCUAAAUCUCUUCUGACGUGCCCGGGGCACUGUGCGUCCAUCCGAGGACAUGAUGGCUCCAGUCCCUGGGCGACUGCUGUGUCCCUGCGCCUCGGUUGCUAGGACCUCGUGACAGCCUCGUGGGGCCCACGGAAACGUGAGGUCCGUCGCGGUCUUUGUGCCGCGCUGCGCCUCUGCACGGUCCUGCCUGCUUUCUCUCAGCACCUUGGUGUCCCAGUGGCGGGGCCUGAGCACUAGCAGGGCCAGGACCAGUCCCUGGGGUGGCGCCACUGUCCUCCGACCUCCUGAUCGUCAGGUGUGGGUCUGUGCCCCGUCCUGGCUCCCCGGGAGCCCUGUUAUGCGUGUCGGGCCCUAGGUGAGGGAACGUUUUGUUCUGGGAGACUUGGUGGAGGUUGAAGCUUCACUGUCCCCGUCUGUCCCCGUUCUGUCCCCGUUCACCCCUCGAAGGUCCUCUGGGGAGUAGAGACCCCGAACCUCCUCCGCGGUUGUCCCCGGCUGGGAGUGGCGCAGGGUUGAGGGUAUUACUGAUAGACUGGAAAACCACGGGCUGGGUGACAGCUAGAGGCGCAGCCUCAAGACCCCCGUGGCCUGGGGUCCCCGUCCUCGCCCUGCCAGGGCAGAGCUGUCAGGCAGCAAAUUCCUGAGGGACCUGGUGGGGGUACUGGGCGAGGACAGCCACACCUGGUCCCCUUAUCU